CUGGGAGCCUGGAGGCUUGAGCUCUGGAGCUGUGUUUAGGCAGCCGUUUAAUUUCGUGCAUUAACUCACUGAACUGAGGUAUUUGAAAACCUCCUCUCUCCCUAAGACUUUCUUAUUGCCUCCAAGAGGCUCCAUCCUUCAAUAGCACUUAUCCACCCAACAACUGGGCUGGGGGAGCAGUAGUGUCUCUAUGGCAUAAACGAAGAAACUGUGACUCAGAGAGGCUGAGUAAACUGCUUGAUGCUGUACAACUACAUACAGUGAUGAAUGUGAGAUUCAGACUUGGAUUUGUCUGGCUCCAAAAUCUCUGUUCCUUCCAUGACAAUAAAACAAAGGAGAAGAAGAGCGAGAGGUGGUACGUCUAGAUGGCCAGGUGAAAACCGAGCACUGCUGAGAAGCCCCGAGGAAAAGUGCAGCCUCCACACGAAGUUUUAUUAUUGGCUUCUGGGGAAAUGGUGGAAGAAAAAUGACUCCAUGUGGCAGCUCAGAGAUGCUCCCAAGAGAAACAAAAAUGGUAA